rnacentral:rRNA from 1 species
CCUACGGGUGGCAGCAGUGAGGAAUAUUGGUCAAUGGACGAGCGUCUGAACCAGCCAAGUAGCGUGAAGGAUGACUGCCCUAUGGGUUGUAAACUUCUUUUAUAUGGGAAUAAAACGUUCCACGUGUGGAAUUUUGUAUGUACCAUAUGAAUAAGUAUCGGCUAACUCCGUGCCAGCAUCCGCGGUAAUACGGAGGCUCCGAGAGUUAUCCGGAUUUGUUGGGUUUAAAGGGAGCGUAGGUGGAUUGUUAAGUCAGUUGUGAAAGUUUGCGGCUAAACCGUAAAAUUGCAGUUGAAACUGGCAGUCUUGAGUACAGUAGAGGUGGGCGGAAUUCGUGGUGUAGCGGUGAAAUGCUUAGAUAUCACGAAGAACUCCGAUUGCGAAGGCAGUUCACUGGACUGCAACUGACACUGAGGCUCGAGAGUGUGGGUAUCAAACAGGAUUAGAUACCCUAGUAGUC